UACGUAGGUCCCGAGCGUUGUCCGGAUUUAUUGGGCGUAAAGCGAGCGCAGGUGGUUUAUUGAGUCUGGUGUAAAAGGCAGUGGCUCAACCAUUGUAUGCAUUGGAAACUGGUAGUCUAGAGUGCAGGAGAGGAGAAUGGAAUUCCUAGUGUAGCGGUGAAAUGCGUAGAGAUUAGGAAGAACACCAGUGGCGAAGGCGAUUCUCUGGACUGUAACUGACGCUGAGGCUCGAAAGCGUGGGGAGCAAACAGG
rnacentral:rRNA from 1 species